ensembl:lncRNA
CAUUCAGUCUUAAUUUACUCUUGAUCCAUUGGAUUUUGACUUAUCUCUUAGCUUUCAUGAAAUUACUUAGUACAGAAUUCCAGAGUCUGGAAAUUGUGAAUCCUUCUGACAAUUAUCAAAGAGACGUCAGCUCCUAAGUCUAGUCGCUGGGAUAGCAAUUGUUAAAAUACCUGGCAGAGCCAUUUUCAUGGGACUCGGAGUCUGUUCUUCCUAGCAUGUGGCCUAAAGACUGCUGGUGUUUAUGUGUACAAAGGAAUAAAAUCAGCAAAUCUUUCCAAAUAAGUACUUGAGACUACUCUAUGCCCAGUGGUCUACUUUAUAUUGCAGUGCUUCAUUGACCUGACAAAGAUACUGGACAGAUUCACAUGGAAGAAAAUGAUUAGAAAUGAGCAUGAGCAUCCAUGGGCACUGGGUUCAGAAGAGUGGCUCUGACUUUCUAGUUUUAUAAUCUGAUGGCCAUGAGUAGCAGGAAGCUGAAAUAACUACACAGAAUGUGGUUCAAGGAAGUGUGGAUGUACAUGAAAAGAAUAACAGAGUCAGAGCAUAAUAUUAUGGAAUUGAUCCAC